CAAGGGUCUGAUAUCCAACACCUAUAAGGAACUUAAACAAAUUUACAAGGGAAAAGCAACCCCAUUAAAAAGUGGGCAAAGUAAGGUCUUUGGGGAACAGGGAUGCUUAUUUCCUCUGCCUUCCUUGUCUGCGUACACGG
ensembl:snoRNA